rnacentral:rRNA from 1 species
AACGAACGCUGGCGGCAUGCCUAACACAUGCAAGUCGAACGAGACCUUCGGGUCUAGUGGCGCACGGGUGCGUAACGCGGGGGAACCUGCCCUUAGGUUCGGAAUAGCUCCCCGAAAGGGGUGCUAAUACCGGAUAAUGUCUUCCGACCAAAGAUUUAUCGCCUUUGGAUGGGCCCGCGUUGGAUUAGAUAGUUGGUAGUGUAAAAGCCUACCAAGGCGACGAUCCAUAGCUGGUCUGAGAGGAUGAUCAGCCACACUGGGACUGAGACACGGCCCAGACUCCUACGGGAGGCAGCAGUGGGGAAUAUUGGACAAUGGGCGAAAGCCUGAUCCAGCAAUGCGGCGUGAGUGAUGAAGGCCUUAGGGUUGUAAAGCUCUUUUACCCGUGAUGAUAAUGACAGUACCGGGAGAAUAAGCUCCGGCUAACUCCGUG